AGUGAACGCUGGCGGUAGGCCUAACACAUGCAAGUCGAACGGCAGCACAGUAAGAGCUUGCUCUUACGGGUGGCGAGUGGCGGACGGGUGAGGAAUACAUCGGAAUCUACUUUUUCGUGGGGGAUAACGUAGGGAAACUUACGCUAAUACCGCAUACGACCUACGGGUGAAAGCAGGGGAUCUUCGGACCUUGCGCGAUUGAAUGAGCCGAUGUCGGAUUAGCUAGUUGGCGGGGUAAAGGCCCACCAAGGCGACGAUCCGUAGCUGGUCUGAGAGGAUGACCAGCCACACUGGAACUGAGACACGGUCCAGACUCCUACGGGAGGCAGCAGUGGGGAAUAUUGGACAAUGGGCGCAAGCCUGAUCCAGCCAUACCGCGUGGGUGAAGAAGGCCUUCGGGUUGUAAAGCCCUUUUGUUGGGGAAGAAAAGCAGCAGGUUAAUACCCCGCUGUUCUGACGGUACCCAAAGAAUAAGCACCGGCUAACUUCGUG
rnacentral:rRNA from 1 species